ACCUGGCUGGCUCAGUCAGUAGAGCAUGGGACUCUUGAUCUCGGGGUUGUGAGUUCGAGCCCCAUGUGGGGUG
rnacentral:tRNA from 1 species